rnacentral:rRNA from 1 species
UCUGGUGGGUAGUUUGACUGGGGCGGUCUCCUCCUAAAGAGUAACGGAGGAGCACGAAGGUUGGCUAAUCCUGGUCGGACAUCAGGAGGUUAGUGCAAUGGCAUAAGCCAGCUUGACUGCGAGCGUGACGGCGCGAGCAGGUGCGAAAGCAGGUCAUAGUGAUCCGGUGGUUCUGAAUGGAAGGGCCAUCGCUCAACGGAUAAAAGGUACUCCGGGGAUAACAGGCUGAUACCGCCCAAGAGUUCAUAUCGACGGCGGUGUUUGGCACCUCGAUGUCGGCUCAUCACAUCCUGGGGCUGAAGUAGGUCCCAAGGGUAUGGCUGUUCGCCAUUUAAAGUGGUACGCGAGCUGGGUUUAGAACGUCGUGAGACAGUUCGGUCCCUAUCUGCCGUGGGCGCUGGAGAACUGAGGGGGGCUGCUCCUAGUACGAGAGGACCGGAGUGGACGCAUCACUGGUGUUCGGGUUGUCAUGCCAAUGGCACUGCCCGGUAGCUAAAUGCGGAAGAGAUAAGUGCUGAAAGCAUCUAAGCACGAAACUUGCCCCGAGAUGAGUUCUCCCUGACUCCUUGAGAGUCCUGAAGGAACGUUGAAGACGACGACGUUGAUAGGCCGGGUGUGUAAGCGCAGCGAUGCGUUGAGCUAACCGGUACUAAUGAACCGUGAGG